rnacentral:rRNA from 1 species
GCAAGUCGAACGGUAACAUGGAAGCUUGCUUCUGAUGACGAGUGGCGCACGGGUGAGUAACGCGUACACAACCUACCUUUAAGAGGGGGAUAGCCCAGGGAAACUUGGAGUAAUCCGCCAUGUGAUUAUUGAGUGGCAUCGCUUGAUAAUUAAAACUACGGUGCUUGAAGAUGGGUGUGCGUUUGAUUAGUUAGUUGGUGAGGUAACGGCUCACCAAGACGAUGAUCAAUAGGGGGCGUGAGAGCGUGAUC